rnacentral:rRNA from 1 species
CCUACGGGGGGCUGCAGUGGGGAAUAUUGGACAAUGGGCGAAAGCCUGAUCCAGCCAUGCCGCGUGUGUGAAGAAGGCCUUCGGGUUGUAAAGCACUUUCAGUGGGGAAGAAAGCCUUGGGGCUAAUACCCUCGAGGAAGGACAUCACCCACAGAAGAAGCACCGGCUAACUCCGUGCCAGCAGCCGCGGUAAUACGGAGGGUGCGAGCGUUAAUCGGAAUUACUGGGCGUAAAGCGCGCGUAGGCGGUCUGAUAAGCCAGUUGUGAAAGCCCCGGGCUCAACCUGGGAACGGCAUCCGGAACUGUCAGGCUAGAGUGCAGGAGAGGAAGGUAGAAUUCCCGGUGUAGCGGUGAAAUGCGUAGAGAUCGGGAGGAAUACCAGUGGCGAAGGCGGCCUUCUGGACUGACACUGACGCUGAGGUGCGAAAGCGUGGGUAGCAAACAGGAUUAGAUACCCGAGUAGUC